UGAUGGUCCCUUUGAUCAAGAAACCUUGGUUGUUUUAGGAAGGCUUGAGAAAGAUAAUGAGGAUCCAGAGACUGCUAAUGACUCUAACAAUUUGUCCGUUUACCGAGACCAGUUAGAGAAGCAGCAAAAGCCAUUGGAUUUUGAAAACAAUGGUCCUAUAUGGUUUCCUCCUCCACCUGAUGAUGAAGAUGAUGAGGCACAAAAUAAUUUCUUCACAUAUGAUGACGAAGAUGAUGAAAUUGGAGAGACAGGCACAACAUUCUCUUCAAGUGGGAGCCUCUCCAGCAUUUUCCCUGCAAAGGAUAAACAACAAUUAGAUCAUAAGGAACCAUUAAGAUCUGUUGUACAUGGUCAUUUCAGGGCUCUUGUCUUGCAGCUAUUGCAAGGAGAAGAUAUACAUUCUGGGAAAGAAAGCGCUGCCGAUGACUGGAUUGACAUAGUUACA
rnacentral:misc_RNA from 1 species